CCCUUAGAUGUUCUGGGCAGCACGCGCGCUACAAUGGUCUUCGCAAACGGAUGCAUUCUCGAAGGAGAAUGCCAAUCUUGGAAUCUAUGCCUUGGUCGGGACAGUUGCUUGCAAUUUUUCGACUCGAACCAGGAAUUCCUUGUAAUCGUGAUUCAUCACAUCACGAUGAAUACGUCCCUGCCCUUUGUACACACCGCCCGUCGCUCCUACCGAUUGAAUGUUCCGGUGAGCUCUUCGGACUGCGCGGUCUGCAGUUUCUGCGUUCCGUGCGGAAAGUUGCGCAAACCUUAACAUUUAGAGGAAGGAGAAGUCGUAACA
rnacentral:rRNA from 1 species